CGGCUGUCGGGAGAGUGCAUGAAAUGCCGCCGAAGGAAUAAAUAUGUAGCAAUGCCUAUCUGCUGCAUAUGAAGAUCUCAGGCAAAAGGACCGG
rnacentral:ncRNA from 1 species